CUGAUUUGCACAUACCUGCAGGAGAAAGGAGAAUGGCAUCCUUUAUGAAGCCAGGAAUGAGCCACAUUCAUCUUUGUCCAGAAGAGGAAACUGACGUCCAGAGAAAGGGCCUUGCCCAAGUCCAGCCAGGAGGUUAGCAGGGCGGCGGGAAGCAGACGAGAGAGCAAGACUGGGAGGGACCAGAGGGUUGCCACUUGAGCCUGAAUUUCCAAUCUGCCCAGAUAAAGAAGAGAGGAUUUGGGAGGGAAUUCUGCUGGAGUGAUGGCUUGGAAAAAGGUUAGUAGUUGGGAUAUGUACUUUUGGGUCAAUGUUAGUGAAGAAAUUUGCCUAAGAGGGGCAGAAAUUCCGAUUCAGGAUCAAUAAGAGGUAAAUUUGGUUGUGUGGGGCAAGGUUAGAUUAGAAUUUUUAGAAG